CCCUACUACUGUUGCAACAACAACAGCAGCACCUACAACUACUGCUGCUCCUACGACAGCAGCACCUACUACUGUUGCGACAACAACAGCAGCACCUACAACUGCUGCACCUACGUCUGUUGCCCUGACAACUGCAGCACCUACAACGGCUCGAUCUGCAACUACAGCACCUACUACUAUAGCCCUUAGAAGGGUGACUUUCCGUUCUGUCCUAGACACAUUUACUAUUGAAUUGCAGGAUCCAUCUUCUGAUGAUUUUAAAGGUCGGGCUACAUUGGUGAAGGAACAGCUUACACCUGUUUACCAAAACGCAUUCCCUUCGUCCUUCAAAUCACUAGAUGUUGUUUCAUUCAGUAACGGAUCAAUCAUCAGCGUCAUUGACGUUUCAUUUGUAAGCACAUCCGCUCCUAAUAACAAUGAGAUUGCGAGCACUUUGAUCAAUGCAACAGUCGUUGGAUUCGACAUUGAAAGCAGCUCCAUUAGCGUAAAUGGCAUAUGUAAGUAAAUACUGAGUGCUACUUAAUAAAAAUAAAAAUAAAUUAUACUUUUUUUAAAUUAAUGUUUGUUU